rnacentral:SRP_RNA from 1 species
GCCUGGAGCGGUGGCUCGUGCCUGUUGUCCCAGCUACUCAGGAGGCUGAGGUGGGAGGAUCGCUUCAGCCCAGGAGUUCUGGGCUGUAGUGCUAUACCAAUCAAGUGUCUGCACUAAGUUCGGCAUCAAUAUGGUGACCUCCCGGGAGCGAGGGACCACCAGGUUGCCUAAGGAGGGGUGAACCGGCCCAGGUCGGAAACGGAGCAGGCCAAAACUCCCAUGCUGAUUGGUAAUGGGAUCGCACCUGUGAGUAGCCACUGCACUCCAGCCUGGGCAACAUAGCAAGAUCCUGUCUCU